rnacentral:rRNA from 1 species
GUAAGGAAUAUUGGUCAAUGGGCGGAAGCCUGAACCAGCCAUGCCGCGUGCAGGACGACGGCCCUACGGGUUGUAAACUGCUUUUGCCCGGGAAUAACCCCCCGCUCUUGAGCGGGGCUGAACGUACCGGGAGAAUAAGGAUCGGCUAACUCCGUGCCAGCAGCCGCGGUAAUACGGAGGAUCCGAGCGUUAUCCGGAUUUAUUGGGUUUAAAGGGUGCGUAGGCGGCCUGUUAAGUCAGGGGUGAAAUACGGCAGCUGAACUGUCGCAGUGCCCUUGAUAAUGACGGGCUUGAAUACCGGUGAAGGCGGCGGAAUGAGACAAGUAGCGGUGAAAUGCAUAGAUAUGUCUCAGAACCCCGAUUGCGAAGGCAGCUGCCUAACCGGCGAUUGACGCUGAUGCACGAAAGCGUGGGGAUCGAACAGGAUUAGAUACCCCUGUAGUCC